GGUUGGUGCAAAAGUAAUUGUGGUUUUUGCCAUUAAAGUAAUUGCAAAAAUCACAAUUACUUUUGCACCAACUUAAUA
rnacentral:miRNA from 1 species